rnacentral:rRNA from 1 species
AUGCACCAAAUUGAAGUGGCACACCAACUUCGAUUAGCACAUGUGGCACAACAAGGAGCUUCAGCUACAAUCAACAGCGGCGUAGGAACAUCUACUGCGAGAACCUCAGAGCACAUUGAAGGAGCAUUCCACGAGCAAGUCACCGAUGCUGCAACAAACAAUGCAGAAUCAGUGUCAGAUAUGGCAAUCGUUCCAGCAAUGACGACAAGCACGCCUCUGCAAACCAGCACAAGCAACACUCAAGCAAAUGAAACAUCCGCCAAUACUGAAGUGAAUGAUGAAACUGAUGACGAAACACAAGGAGAAGAAGAAGAUGGACAAUCGGAAAUCAUGAUACCUCAACCACCAUAUGUUGGGCAGAGAUUUGGUUCUUUUGAAGAUGCCAAGGAGUACUACCAGAGAUAUGCGAUGUUCCAUGGAUUUGCGUGA